rfam:Hordeum vulgare subsp. vulgare, WGS project CAJW01000000 data, contig: morex_contig_51314
AUGUUUCUCCCUCCGUCCGAAAAUACUUGUCCUAAAAAUUGAUAUAAUGGAUGUAUCUAUAAUUAAAAUAAGUCUAGACUCAUCCAUUUAUAGGACAAUUAUUUCCGGACGGAGGGAGUAGAUG